CGUCUUCACCCUAAGAUUAAGAUUCGAAUUCGUUCGUUUCAAUCUAAGCUUCAGAUUCAAACAACUCGUUUGUUCAAAGUAAGCUUCAAAUUCUCCUCAAAUUCUUCAAUUAACCUUCAAAAUCAACUUCAGGUACGAUGCAGCUGUGUUGACAUCGCUGAUGACAGUGUCCUAUCGGUCAAUUCAAUCACAAAUUUCUUGUGAUUUUAUUGUUGAUAUUGCAGACGGUUGUGCAAAUCUGAGUCCCAAGCACUACAAGAUUACUCUGAAGUAGAAC